rnacentral:rRNA from 1 species
CGAGCGAGAAGGUGUAGCAAUACACUUGUAAAGCGGCGAACGGGUGAGGAAUGCAUGGGUAACCUACCCUCGAGUGGGGAAUAACUAGCCGAAAGGUUAGCUAAUACCGCAUACGUUUCCGGGACCUCGGUUCCGGAAAGAAAGCAAUACCGUGGGUAUUGCGCUCAUGGAUGGGCUCAUGUCCUAUCAGCUUGUUGGUGAGGUAACGGCUCACCAAGGCUUCGACGGGUAGCUGGUCUGAGAGGACGAUCAGCCACACUGGCACUGCGACACGGGCCAGACUCCUACGGGAGGCAGCAGUAAGGAAUAUUGCGCAAUGGACGAAAGUCUGACGCAGCGACGCCGCGUGGGGGAUGAAGGUCUUCGGAUUGUAAACCCCUUUCGGGAGGGAAGAUGGAGUGGGUAACCACUUGGACGGUACCUCCAGAAGCAGCCACGGCUAACUUCGUGCCAGCAGCCGCGGUAAUACGAAGGUGGCAAGCGUUGUUCGGAUUCACUGGGCGUACAGGGAGCGUAGGCGGUUGGGUAAGCCCUCCGUGAAAUCUCCGGGCCUAACCCGGAAAGUGCAGAGGGGACUGCUCAGCUAGAGGAUGGGAGAGGAGCGCGGAAUUCCCGGUGUAGCGGUGAAAUGCGUAGAGAUCGGGAGGAAGGCCGGUGGCGAAGGCGGCGCUCUGGAACAUUUCUGACGCUGAGGCUCGAA